CUUGACUUUAACCUUCGGUGGAUAACUAUGACCUGGAUGACUGAGAAUCUUCAUAGAUUAUUGUUUUGCUGAAGCUGAAACUGAGCUUGAGAGAUGUAUCAUGGCAGUGAUGUCAUCAAGGAAGAGGAGGAUCCUCUCCAGCCACCACGUAACAUUGGGAUUAUGAGUUGUCAUCAGUUCCAUAUGCAUGUGCCAUGUUGUUUGUCCUCAUUUAUGCUCUAAACUUGAGCUAUCUGAGUUAGGUAAAAUACACCUUUGAUGGACUGCAGAAAAUAUUCUUGGACAUAGAACCCAAGUUCAGACCCGAGUGUCAAGCUCUAAAUAAUGGAUUAAUCAAAGAAGACAUAUAGAUACAGGAUAUGUUUUAUUCUGUUAUAGCUUGUAUUAAAAAAUAUUACAGGAUAAUGGAAGGGGCCAAUGACUUAAAUAAGAGAGAAACAGACUUUGAUUCAAAACUGGCCUUUAUGAUUUUCUCUGUUAACAGCUGAUUCUGUGGUGUCAAUAUUGUGGUACUUCAACACUUAAAAUGUUUGUAUUUUAUUUUUUUCAGUAAAGGUGAUGCAUAGUUUUAAAAAAGACAACAUCAUCACCAUAAACAUUAAGGCUGUUUGAAGAGAAUAUUCAUGUCUUUUUUUUUUAAAGAAACAUAACUAAAUUAAGCAUUCACUGACAAAAUGUUUUUUGGUUUUAUCGGAACUAAAAGUAAAAGUAAUGUAAAAUUUAGAUUUUAUUUAUGGUGAAAUUUUGUGUUGAAUUACAAAUUUAAGUUGGCUAAAUUUGAUUAAAUUGCUUGUAACAAAUCACAGCACUUUAAUUAGUUUAGUCCUAAGUAAAAAAUUAUACGUGGAUGUUAUAUUAAAAAGUAGGUUAUGCCAAAAUAAAAAUUUGUUGUACCAAAGUAAAAAAAAUGAAUCAUGGUCUCUAUGUUAAGCAAUAGAUGAAAGCGAUGUAACCAUUAUAGUCAACCAUCAAAAUCAAGUAAUAUUUUGAUUGAAAUUAAAUUAAACUUAAAUUUAAAAAUUAAAAAUAUAGUUUGAGAAAAAGUAAUAAAUUUAGCUGUAACAAAUCACAGUAAUUUUUUUAGGUUGGUUCAAAGUAUAAUUUUUUUUGGUGCAGGAUGAUUGAAUGAAAUAUUUAUUGAUUGAUUAGACAUGCUUUUGAUAUUUAUUUUGGAUAAAUUGGUUUGUUAAUUGAGUAAUAGGGAGAAAAGAAUUUCUUUAGAAUACACCAAAUUAGUCGAUUUAUCUCAACAAAAGAAUCGUUAGAUUAAUCAAUUUGAAAAAUAAUGUACAGCCCUAUUCCAGAUUGUUGCAAUGGAUUUCAGUUUUAGUAAAAGAUCUCACAAAAAAGAGAUUUGUUACACUUUCUUAAGAAGAGGGGUACCUUUACCCAUAAUGCCACUGUGGCAAACAGUGGUGAUGGAUAAAUGGUUGCUUGUCAAAGACCUACUACAGUCAGACAAUCUAAUGACUUCCGUCACUGCAAGUUUUGUCAAGGGCUGUAUGCAAGAGAUAGUCUAUGGAGAGGUGAGAAAUUGCAAGUCUGUUGAGGGGGAGCCUCAAGUUGGGCAAAAACUUAUUCACAUUGACAUAACAAAACCUGAUACAUUACCAUGUAAACAUGUUGAAAAAGUCUUUUCAGGUUUUCUUAACAGUGAGCAGGACUAUUAAAUUCAUUCUUAUGUUUUAGUGUUUUAAUGUACACCUAUGCUUCUAAUGCAGACAACAGAUUUAACGUUACAGAUACACACCUUAUUUUGUGCAUUACUGAGUCUUUAUGAGUCAUAUAAAACUGAAAAUUUAAUGUGUAUCUAUGGCCUUCAGAAUUCACUUUAACAUGAAAUGUCUGUUUGUUGCUAUGGCCUCAUAAGUCACAAAAACCUAAACAUGUCCUCAUAUGUAACAUGAAAAUCAGGUCUGCCCAAAAUAUAGCCAUAGACCAAAUCUCAACAGAUGGAUCUAUUCCUUUAAGUAUUGGUGGAAAAUACUUUAAAUACCAGGUCUGGUGGACCUUGGGAAAGGCAUGUCCUGAUAUUUCAUGUUUUUGUCUUAAGUCCUGAUAUAUCAUGAAUACACGUGUUUGUGUGUGUGUGUGUGUGUGUGUGUGUGUGUUGGUUUUGCUAUACUUGUGAGGACCAACUAUUGAGAAACAACCUAUUUUGUGAGGACAUUGUUUUGUUGUGAGGACCACCCAGCAUUUUAAUUCUGAAAUAGCCUCCUGAGGGUAUAUACAUCAUGCUCUGUAAAUUUCAGCAAAAGUCCUCACAAGAAUAGUAAUUACGGAAAGUGGUGUUUUCCCAUGUGAUCGUGAGCUCCCCCUAUAGUACACACUUGUGUGCUGCAUCAGCCAUACUGGGAGGAGGAGUCUGAGGGAGAGGGAUUUUUCUGAUUGGAUGGCUCAUUGCCUAGCUGGGGGAUUUUUCUGAUUGGUCACUUCAGUCACAUGUCUACACUGUGGAGGGAAGUGCAGAUAGAGUUGCAGGGUGACUCACAGAGGCCUGUGAUCAGCCAAAUCUCAACCAUGAAAACCUAUUAACUCAAGUACAAACAUAGUAAUGACCAGUUCACACAAUUAAUGAUAUUAAAUAAACUUAUAAUUUACAUUAUCAUUAAACAAUUAAUUGAUCAUUAUUUAAUUUCUUAAGGGGAUAAUGAGCUUUUUACUUCUGCAGUGAACAGAAAUAAACAGGGGAAUAAAACUUAAAUUUAAAGUAUAAAAAUAGAUUUUAAUUUCCAAUUUAUGAGAAUUUGUACAUAAUGUGGGCAUCUUUACAUUUACUGUUAAUUUUGACAGUUUUUUAUUUAGUUAUUCUGUUGAAGUCUGAGUCUUAAGAGUUUUGAUUUGUGUAAAUUUGGAUUGGAAUAUGGAAUAUGAAGUGAAUAUUUAAUACACUAAUUAAUGUUUGAUUAGGAUUAAUUUGCUAAUUUGUUGGCCCAGUUGAGGAAACUUCAGUUUAAGGUUUAAAUGUAUACAAUCUAAGUAAUAAAGGUAAGGACAGCUGCAAAUGUUACCAGGUGAAACAGCCUACUGUCUGCUUUCUCUAUAUGCAAACAUUGUGUCUUGUUAGAAAGAAGGUAUUUUCUAGUAUUGGAUGUGAUUGUGUAGUUUUAUUUUUCUUUUGUGAUUAAAGUAUAAUGGUUACAUCACUUU